GAUCAUGGCUCAGGAUGAACGCUAGCUACAGGCUUAACACAUGCAAGUCGAGGGGCAGCAUGGUCUUAGCUUGCUAAGGCCGAUGGCGACCGGCGCACGGGUGAGUAACACGUAUCCAACCUGCCGUCUACUCUUGGACAGCCUUCUGAAAGGAAGAUUAAUCCAGGAUGGGAUCAUGAGUUCACAUGUCCGCAUGAUUAAAGGUAUUUUCCGGUAGACGAUGGGGA
rnacentral:rRNA from 1 species